rnacentral:rRNA from 1 species
UUUGGCCAAGCUACUAAGGGCGUAUGGUGAAUGCCUUGGCACCAAGAGGCGAUGAAGGACGUAGCUACCUGCGAUAAGCCACGGGUUGUUGGAAGCAAGCAUUAUCCGUGGAUCUCCGAAUGGGGCAACCCCGCCGGGCAAACCCCGGCGAUCUACCGCUGAAUCCAUAGGCGAUAGAAGCCAACCGAGAGAACUGAAACAUCUUAGUAACUCGAGGAAAAGAAAGCAAAAAGCGAUUCCGCUAGUAGUGGCGAGCGAACGCGGAACAGCCCAAACCCUACGUACGUGACAGGUCGUAUCCGUUGUGCGUAGGGGGUUGCGGGGCGAACAGUCGGGGCAAUACGAGGCCCCGGGAAGGUUACAAAUCUUGCCGUUAGCCGAACACCGCUGGGUAAGCGGGACCAUAGACGGUGAUAGUCCGGUAGGCGAAAGCGACAAGACCUUCUUUGUUCGUUCCCAAGUAAUGCGGGUCACGUGGAACCCCGCGUGAAUCAGGGAGGCCCAUCUCCCAAGGCUAAAUACUACUUGGUGACCGAUAGUGAACUAGUACCGUGAGGGAAAGGUGAAAAGAACCCCGAAGGGGGAGUGAAAAAGUACCUGAAACCGUACGCUUACAAUCAGUGGGAGGACGAUGGCUUCGGCCCGUCUGACCGCGUGCCUUUUGCAUAAUGAGUCUGCGACUUACUCUGUGUAGCAAGGCUAAGGGCCUAUGGUCCGGAGCCGCAGCGAAAGCGAGUCCGAACAGGGCGAUUAGUUGCACGGAGUAGACCCGAAACCGGGUGAUCUAUCCAUGGCCAGGGUAAAGUUCCCGUAAAAGGGAAUGGAGGCCCGAACCAGUGGCAGUUGAAAAUGCUUUGGAUGAGCUGUGGAUAGGGGUGAAAGGCCAACCAAACUCGGAUAUAGCUGGUUCUCCCCGAAAUAUAUUUAGGUAUAGCGUCGCACGGUAGCAAACGGGGGUAGAGCACUGAAUGGGCUAGGGGUCCUACCAGAUUACUGAACCCAAUCAAACUCCGAAUACCGUUUGUGGAACUGCGGCAGUCAGACUGCGGGGGAUAAGCUCCGUAGUCGAAAGGAAAAGAAUCCAGACCGUCAGCUAAGGUCCCCAAUUCGAACUAAGUGGGAAACGAUGUGUAAUUGCCCAGACAACCAGGAUGUUGGCUUAGAAGCAGCCAUUCAUUCAAAGAGUGCGUAACAGCUCACUGGUCGAGUGAUUAUGCGCGGAAGAUGUAACGGGGCUAAGUUCGAAACCGAAGCUACGGCUUCUGAUCGCAAGAUCAGAGGGGUAGGGGAGCAUUCCGUACUGGGACAAAGCAUGACCGCGAGGACAUGUGAACUGUACGGAAGCGAUCAUGCAGACAUUAGUAACGACAAGACAGGCGAGAAACCUGUCCGCCGUAAACCCAAGGUUUCCCGGGCCAGGGUAAUCCGCCCGGGGUUAGUCGGAACCUAAGCCGAGGCCGAAAGGCGUAGGCGAUGGAAAACAGGCACAAAGAUUCCUGUACCACCGCGUUCCCGUUUGAGCGAUGGGGCGACGCAGCAGGAUAGGGCACCCGUCAUUCGGCAUUCGCAAGAUGAUGGCGGGCUAAGCGCGCAGGAGGUAACCCAGGCAAAUCCGGGUUGCACUACUCCGAGACGUUAAGGGACGAUGAAGCUUCGGCUAAGUCGGAUUGUCCGAUUCCACACUGCCUAGAAAACCCCCUAGCGAGGGGGCCGGUGUCCGUACCGUAAACCGACACAGGUGGGUGAGAAGAGUAUUCUAAGGCGCUCGGGAGAACCACUCUUAAGGAACUCGACCAAUUGGCCCCGUAACUUCGGAAGAAGGGGUGCUCUGGCCGGUGAAGGGCUUGCCCCGUAAGCUGGUCGGAGUUGCAACAAAGAGGCUCAGGCGACUGUUUAUCAAAAACACAGGUCUCUGCUAAGUCGUAAGACAACGUAUAGGGACUGACGCCUGCCCAAUGCCGGAAGGUUAACGGGAGGAGUUAGCAUAACUCGUUGUGCGAAGCUCUGAACCGAAGCCCUGGUUAAUGGCGGCCGUAACUAUAACGGUCCUAAGGUAGCGAAAUUCCUUGUCGGGUAAGUUCCGACCUGCACGAAUGGCGUAACGAUCUGAGCAUUGUCUCAAGGGUGGUCCCGGUGAAGUUGUAAUACCUGUGAAGAUGCAGGUUACCCGCAACAAGACGGAAAGACCCCGUGGACCUUUACUACAGUUUGAUAUUGGCUUUUGUCUUGAUCUGUAUAGGAUAGGUGGGAGACGUUGAAGCUGGGGCGUUAGCCUCGGUGGAGUCACCCUUGGAAUACCACCCUGAUUAAAACGAAAGCCUAACCCCGAUCCCAUGAAGCUGGGCGGGAGACAGUGUCUGAUGGGUAGUUUGACUGGGGCGGUCGCCUCAUAAAGAGUAACUGAGGCGCCCCAAGGUUUCCUCAGCACGUUUGGAAAUCGUGCGUAGAGUGUAAAGGCACAAGGAAGCUUGACUGCGAGACCCACAAGUCGAGCAGGUACGAAAGUAGGGCUUAGUGAUCCAGCGGUUCCGCAUGGAAGGGCCGUUGCUCAACGGAUAAAAGGUACCCCGGGGAUAACAGGCUAAUCGCGCCCAAGAGUUCACAUCGACGGCGCGGUUUGGCACCUCGAUGUCGGCUCGUCACAUCCUGGGGCUGAAGCAGGUCCCAAGGGUUCGUCUGUUCGCCGAUUAAAGUGGCACGCGAGCUGGGUUCAGAACGUCGUGAGACAGUUCGGUCCCUAUCUGUUGCGGGCGUAGGAAAUUUGAGGAGAGUUGUCUCUAGUACGAGAGGACCGAGAUGAACGAACCUAUGGUGUUCCGGUUGUCACGCCAGUGGCACCGCCGGGUAGCUAUGUUCGGACGGGAUAAGCGCUGAAAGCAUCUAAGCACGAAGCCCACUCCAAGAUAAGAUUUCCCUGGGCGAAAGCCCCUGAAGGGCCCUGGAAGACUACCAGGUGAUAGGCUGGAAGUGUACGCGUUGCGAGACGUUUAGCUGACCAGUACUAAUUGCCCGUGAGGCUUGGCCGUUUUUUACCCAA